rnacentral:rRNA from 1 species
AGUGAACGCUGGCGGUAGGCCUAACACAUGCAAGUCGAACGGCAGCACAGUAAGAGCUUGCUCUUACGGGUGCGAGUGGCGGACGGGUGAGGAAUACAUCGGAAUCUACUUUUUCGUGGGGGAUAACGUAGGGAAACUUACGCUAAUACCGCAUACGACCUACGGGUGAAAGCAGGGGUUCUUCGGACCUUGCGCGAUUGAAUGAGCCGAUGUCGGAUUAGCUAGUUGGCGGGGUAAAGGCCCACCAAGGCGACGAUCCGUAGCUGGUCUGAGAGGAUGAUCAGCCACACUGGAACUGAGACACGGUCCAGACUCCUACGGGAGGCAGCAGUGGGGAAUAUUGGACAAUGGGCGCAAGCCUGAUCCAGCCAUACCGCGUGGGUGAAGAAGGCCUUCGGGUUGUAAAGCCCUUUUGUUGGGAAAGAAAAGCAGCAGGUUAAUACCCCGCUGUUCUGACGGUACCCAAAGAAUAAGCACCGGCUAACUUCGUG